UACGUAGGCAGCAAGCGUUGUUCGGAGUUACUGGGCGUAAAGGGUGUGUAGGCGGUUGGAUAAGUGUGGUGUGAAAUCUCCCGGCUCAACUGGGAGGGUGCGCUACAAACUGUCUGACUAGAGUGUGGGAUGGGUAAGUGGAAUUCCUGGUGUAGCGGUGAAAUGCGCAGAUAUCAGGAGGAACACCAAUGGCGAAGGCAGCUCGCUGGGACGGUACUGACGCUGAGGCGCGAAAGCGUGGGGAGCAAACAGG
rnacentral:rRNA from 1 species